rnacentral:rRNA from 1 species
GUCUGAGAGGUGAUGCAUAGCCGAGUGAGGCGAAUUCGGUGAUCCUAUGCUGCCAAGAAAAGCCUCUAGCGAGGACAUACACGGCCCGUACCCCAAACCAACACAGGUGGUCAGGUAGAGAAUACUAAGGCGUACGAGUGAACUAUGGUUAAGGAACUCGGCAAAAUGCCCCCGUAACUUCGGGAGAAGGGGGACCCCCAUAUCGUGAACCGGCUUGCCCGGGGUAGCGGGAGGGGGUGGCACAAACCAGUGAGAAGCGACUGUUUACUAAAAACACAGGUCCGUGCGAAGUCGCAAGACGAUGUAUACGGACUGACGCCUGCCCGGUGCUGGAAGGUUAAGAGGACCCGUUAACUCGUAAGGGUGAAGCGGAGAAUUUAAGCCCCAGUAAACGGCGGUGGUAACUAUAACCAUCCUAAGGUAGCGAAAUUCCUUGUCGGGUAAGUUCCGACCUGCACGAAUGGCGUAACGACUUCUCAACUGUCUCAACCAUAGACUCGGCGAAAUUGCACUACGAGUAAAGAUGCUCGUUACGCGCGGCAGGACGAAAAGACCCCGGGACCUUCACUACAACUUGGUAUUGGUGCUCGAUACGGUUUGUGUAGGAUAGGUGGGAGACUGUGAAGCGCACACGCCAGUGUGUGUGGAGUCGUUGUUGAAAUACCACUCUGAUCGUAUUGGGCCUCUAACCUCGGACCGUAUAUCCGGUUCAGGGACAGUGCCUGGUGGGUAGUUUAACUGGGGCGGUUGCCUCCUAAAAUGUAACGGAGGCGCCCAAAGGUUCCCUCAACCUGGACGGCAAUCAGGUGUUGAGUGUAAGUGCACAAGGGAGCUUGACUGCGAGACAUACAUGUCGAGCAGGGACGAAAGUCGGGACUAGUGAUCCGGCACCUCUGAGUGGAAGGGGUGUCGCUCAACGGAUAAAAGGUACCCCGGGGAUAACAGGCUGAUCUUCCCCAAGAGUCCAUAUCGACGGGAUGGUUUGGCACCUCGAUGUCGGCUCGUCGCAUCCUGGGGCUGGAGCAGGUCCCAAGGGUUGGGCUGUUCGCCCAUUAAAGCGGCACGCGAGCUGGGUUUAGAACGUCGUGAGACAGUUCGGUCUCUAUCCGCCGCGCGCGUCAGAAGCUUGAGGAAAUCUGUCCCUAGUACGAGAGGACCGGGACGGACGAACCUCUGGUCUACCAGUUGUCCCACCAGGGGCAUGGCUGGAUAGCCACGUUCGGACAGGAUAACCGCUGAAAGCAUCUAAGCGGGAAACCCCCUCCAAGACCAGGCUUCUCACCCAUUAAGUGGGAUAAGGCCCCCCGCAGACCACGGGAUCGAUAGACCAGACCUAGACACCUAGCAAUAGGCGCAGGGAACUGGCACUAACCGGCCGAAAACUUACAACAACCCA